GGGGGUGAAUAGGUUCGACAGGGGGUUUAGCAUUCGAGGGAGCAUGCAGAGGUUCGUCAGGUGCCUCUUUAAAAAACGUGGCAAAACAUAAAUGCUGAUACACUCAGCUGGAACGAAAGAGCUGUCGGACCGGUUUCGGUUCCGAUGCCUCUUCCUAUCGCUGCUUAACUGCUAGCGACGCUACGGGGCUGACACCUGCUAGGCCUCUCUGGCGACCAAAGCGGGUUGCUUUCUGAGCUUCGCCGUUGAGUUCAGGGAAAAGAUUUAGACGGCUCGUUCCUUGGAAUCUCGUCGGCAGAGAUCCGGGGGAUCAAACCGAUUGCCGACUGAGCAUGGAGACCCCUUGAUGACGGAUCCUUUGGACGAGGGUGCAAUUCCCUCCACCUCCACCA
rnacentral:tmRNA from 1 species